CCCUAUGCUCUCCAUUCUUCUUCGAUUACACACACACCCACCCCUGAAUCCCACCUCUUCACCAGCGAUUAGCUGGUGCCGGCCGAAAUUCCCGCCACCGGCGCCCCCUCUCUCCGGCCAUCGCUCACCCACAAUCACCUGCAACUCCUCGAUCACCUGCAAACACCCCCCCUUCAUCUCAUGUCUCCGGCACACAUACACCACACGCACACCCUGGUUUCUUCCGGCAACGAGACGAACAGAGAGAGAGAGAUCGGGGAUCGACACGGAAGACCAGAGUGAGAGAGAGAGAGGAGGAACACGCUGACGUCACUCUGGCGGCCGGAAACGGCGACGAGGCAGAUGACGCCACAUGGAGAUGAUUAUGAUGACGGUGCCGUUGAUGAUACCCUGAUUUCUCCGCUGGUUCAUUGAACCUUGGCAAACGACUCUGUGAUGUUGAGCCUUGGCAACCGGUUGUUCUACAUGUGUUCUUGGUCUGUGAUGUUGUAUACAUGCAGCCAUAAUGGGAUAAAUGGUUGGAGUUAAACAAUCUGAGUCAUUAACCUGAUGUUAGACUAAUAUGUAUGAAUUGGAUUAAGAAAAUAGAGAGGAAAUUGGCUGGUGAUGAUGAUGCGGGAAACCCUCACCUGACCCCUAUUUACGUAGACCUUCACUCUCAUACUUAUUUACGAACUUCUGAAUGUGUAUUGUCUAAGAUUUGUACAACUACUGAAGGUUGGUGUACAAAGCUCUUCAUAGCAUUUGUGUGAAACAUUUAGAGCUUAUUUACACUUUGGCUCCACAGAGAGAACAACUAUGGGUGAAAUUAUGAGAUCUGGUAGAAAGAUGUGUAUACAAAGGAAUGCCAUUAAUGUAUGAAUGACAUGGUAAAAGGUAUUGGGGAGCAUCCAUGGGCUUGUAGGGAUAAUGCAUGUAUUGAUGGACAUGGUUUUAACUGAAGAUGAGUUGAAAGAUAUAAAAAGUAUACUUUUUUACAUGUUUAAGAAUCCUAUUCCCGAGUGGAAGUUAUCCAUCGAGUGAAGGUAGUGAAUCUGUCUGUUUGGUGCAUUUGUUUGUGUUUACCUGUUUUAUAAUAUCCGUUUAUUUGUUUUGA